rnacentral:lncRNA from 1 species
UAAUUAAUAUCUAUUAAUAAAGCCCUGGAAAUGAAUAGUGAUUCUGCGUCGUGGUUUGUUCCUAUUUACCUAUUUGGCCGGUCAUCCCCUCUUCAGACACGUGUCUUCAAUCUUUUAACCCCCUUAUAUGCCGCAGAGAGAAAAAUGGAUAAGAGAGAGGGGCGGUGACCACCGGUGACCAGAGGGUCACCACCGUCACACCACCACAACGAUCACCAUCGGGUGUCUCUCUGCUGUGGGGUUUUCUGAGAGUGUGGAAAGACAUGGUUGUUGAUCUAUAAAACUUGGAGCUGGCCGGAAAGACAGUGCGGUGGGAUGGUUCGUUUCUCGGCUAUUGGACACAAGGCGUCGCUCUACUAUGUCUCCCUGUCGGCGACCGAUGACCCACCCACCACCAGAGAACCGCCGCCGCUCGACCGUUUGGUUCGUUCACUCUUUCAUACUUAUUUCUGUAUUCAUGUGAGAAAAUCACAAAAUUUGCUAUUUGGGGUUUCUUGAUCUUGCAAACAAGAAAUUGGGUUUGCUUAGGUUCUCUUCUUUGUAAGUGAAAUAUUGAGUUUGUUUUGGAUUGGCGUUGAAUCUUCAAUUUGGGGGUAAUAUUUACCGCCAUUAUCGAAAAUUUUAGGAUCCGUGAUCCACAUAGACUGUAUACAGAUAAAAUGAUCUUCAGUUAUACUCUAUUAAUAGAGUAAUACAAAUGAACGGUGGUUUUGGUCUUGGUUUGUUCUGAUUGACCUAUUUGGGUCGUCAUCCUCCCUUGAGAUGCGUGUCUUCCAGCGUACACCUUACCCAUAUUUAAGAAGAACGAGGGGCGGCUACCAGAGGGUCACCACCGGCGGAUUCUGGCAGUCUUGGUGGUGGCGAGUUUCAACAUAAAACCUUAGCCGACGUUUUAGGCGAUGGGGGCUGGCAUUCUUGCGAGGUUUCGGCCUUUUGUCUACCAGACAAUGAUGCUGGCUUGCUACAUGGCAUGGCAACUCCGUUGCAACCGUAGCGCCAGUGAGCGGGUUCGAUAAUGAUGAUCUUUUCGGAUCUGAGUCGAUUGGUGUUCGUGAUUUCGUUUUUUGUUUGCUUAGAUUUCCGAGAUUGAUUGAUUAAACGAUUGUGUUGGUAGUGGUGGUGGAGUUGGAACUGUAUGAUGAAGGUUGAGUUGGUGGUGGUCAAAUAUUUUGGUGUCCUAAUUGUGUUGGUAGAGGUGGUGGAGUUGGAUGUGUUGGUAGUGGUGGUGGUGGAGUUGUAGCUGUAUAAUGUACGGGUUAUAUUGAUGGUGAUGGUGGAACCGUUUGAUGAUAUUCGUGGCAAUCGUUUCCUUCGUAUUAACGGCUGAUUGACCGCAUCGCGGAGCGCGGGCGAAAAAAAAUCUUGCUUACAUCUUUGGUGUUAGAUGGUGCCGGUGGUGGUCGGCCUUGUGUUGAGGUCGCUGACACCACCUCUAUUUGUCAAUGUGUGGUCGGGGAUCUGUGUCAUGGCUGCGUAACUCGGCAAAAACCUUAUUGCUGGUGCACGGUGUCGAUUAAAUCUUUAUCUAACUCAUCAAAUUUUUGGUGGAUAUGGUUGGCUUGGGUUUGUCGUUCGUAUCACCUUAUAUAUGUCUUAUGGCUGUCAUGAAUUCAUACAUAUGACUCUAAAUUGGAUGUUGAAGUUGUCUUGGCAUGGCAGAGAAAAUUGAAUAGGCCGUGAUGAUAAUGAUAUAUAAGAAAAACCGUCUAUCUUUGUUGUUUUGGCGUGGCAAGGCAAAAGAUCAAAUACAAAUAAUCUUAACAUACUAAACAUACAAAUUGAAGGAAAACCCAAAAAGACAAGGUGGCAUUUUUGUAAUUACCACCAACUAUCAAAGUUACAACCAAAAAUACCUAAAAAAACACAAUUUUUUUUAACAUUUUUUAUUAAAAAAUCGCUACAUUUCGUUAGCAAAAAAAAAAAAAAAAAAAAAAAA